rnacentral:rRNA from 1 species
UGGGGAAUAUUGGGCAAUGGGCGAAAGCCUGACCCAGCAACGCCGCGUGAAGGAAGAAGGCCUUCGGGUUGUAAACUUCUUUUACCAGGGACGAAGGACGUGACGGUACCUGGAGAAAAAGCCACGGCUAACUACGUGCCAGCAGCCGCGGUAAUACGUAGGGGGCGAGCGUUGUCCGGAAUUACUGGGCGUAAAGGGAGCGUAGGCGGUUAAUUAAGUUAGAUGUGAAAUACCCGGGCUUAACUUGGGGGGUGCAUCUAAAUACUGGUAAGCUAGAGUACAGGAGAGGAAAGCGGAAUUCCUAGUGUAGCGGUGAAAUGCAUAGAUAUUAGGAGGAACAUCGGUGGCGAAGGCGGCUUUCUGGACUGACACUGACGCUGAGGCUCGAAAGCGUGGGGA